rnacentral:sRNA from 1 species
GCCGGGCGUUGUGGCGGGCGCCUGUGGUCCCAGCUACUUGGGAGGCGGAGGCAGGAGACUCGCUUGAGCCCAGGAGUUGGAGGUUGCUGUGAGCUGUAAUGCCAUGGCACUCUACCCAGGGGGACAGCUUGAGGCUCUGUCUAAAAAAAAAAAAAAAAAAAAAAGAAUAUACUUGUGUUUCCUGUAUCUUAUGAACUUACUCUUAUUUUAUAAACAAAGUGAAAAAUUUUUUUUUUUUUGAGACCAAGCCUCAAGCUGUUGCACUGAGUAGAGUGCUAUGGCAUCACAGCUCACGGCAACUUCCAACUCCUGGG